rnacentral:rRNA from 1 species
UACGGAGGGUGCAAGCGUUAUCCGGAUUCACUGGGUUUAAAGGGUGCGUAGGUGGGUCUGUAAGUCCGUGGUGAAAUCUCCAAGCUUAACUUGGAAACUGCCGUGGAUACUAUAGAUCUUGAAUAUUGUGGAGGUAAGCGGAAUAUGUCAUGUAGCGGUGAAAUGCUUAGAUAUGACAUAGAACACCGAUAGCGAAGGCGGCUUGCUACACAAUCAUUGACACUGAGGCACGAAAGCGUGGGGAGCGAACAGG